rnacentral:misc_RNA from 1 species
AACGCAUCUUGCGCUCCUUGGUAUUCCAGAGAGCAUGCCUGUUUGAGUGUCAUGAAUAUCUCAACUUGUAGAUCUUUUGAUUUACAAAGCUUGGAUUUGGAGUGUGCUAUAUUUCUUCAUUGAUUGUAUAGCUACUCUUGAAUGUAUUAGCAAAUCUAUGUAGAGCUUGGAAUAAGCGCACUUGGCUUGAUAACAAUCUGUCAAUUGACUUGUUUCAUUCUAUGUAUGAUUUGCUUUCUAAUCUAUUAUAAAACAUUAUAUUUCGACCUCAAAUCAGGUAGGACUACCCGCUGAACUUAA